rnacentral:rRNA from 1 species
UUACGACCAGGGCUACACACGUGCUACAAUGGGCGCAUACAAAGAGAAGCGACCUCGCGAGAGCAAGCGGACCUCAUAAAGUGCGUCGUAGUCCGGAUUGGAGUCUGCAACUCGACUCCAUGAAGUCGGAAUCGCUAGUAAUCGUGGAUCAGAAUGCCACGGUGAAUACGUUCCCGGGCCUUGUACACACCGCCCGUCACACCAUGGGAGU